rnacentral:rRNA from 1 species
GACGAACGCUGGCGGCGUGCCUAAUACAUGCAAGUAGAACGCUGAAGGAGGAGCUUGCUUCUCUGGAUGAGUUGCGAACGGGUGAGUAACGCGUAGGUAACCUGCCUGGUAGCGGGGGAUAACUAUUGGAAACGAUAGCUAAUACCGCAUAAGAGUAGAUGUUGCAUGACAUUUGCUUAAAAGGUGCAAUUGCAUCACUACCAGAUGGACCUGCGUUGUAUUAGCUAGUUGGUGGGGUAACGGCUCACCAAGGCGACGAUACAUAGCCGACCUGAGAGGGGGAUCGGCCACACUGGGACUGAGACACGGCCCAGACUCCUACGGGAGGCAGCAGUAGGGAAUCUUCGGCAAUGGACGGAAGUCUGACCGAGCAACGCCGCGUGAGUGAAGAAGGUUUUCGGGUCGUAAAGCUCUGUUGUAAGAGAAGAACGAGUGUGAGAGUGGAAAGUUCACACUGUGACGGUAUCUUACCAGAAAGGGACGGCUAACUACGUG